GCCUGGGGAGCGAACUGUGUGGGUGCUGGGGUCACUCCCUCCCGGGCUGGGACACCCUCUUUGGCCUGAGUGGUGAAGCGUCCCCAUCAAGGCCACCUGGGAAACUCGGAGAGCACCACAGAUACUUGCUCUUGGCCCACACUCUGCUUGGCCUUCGGCCUUUGCUGUGGCUAUUCAGGCAGGCUGGUCCACAAAAGCUGCAAAGGCAUUUGCUGUGGCCCUUCAGGCAGGCAGGUCCACAAAACCUGCGUGGGAGCCCAAGACCACUCACCGUGAGGGCAUCUCAACUCCGAGGGCACGCCCAAGGACCGGGAUCCAUCCCGCCUGACACACCAUUUUCUGGCCUUUCUGCCCCUGGGGCUGUGCUCCUGUGCACGCCUGGCACGCGCCCGGGAUGGCGGAGGUCCCUGGGACCAGUGGAUGCAGGGCCAAUUUCCCAGGGUGUGAGCACAUCUGCACUGGGAUCCCGGACAGCAGGCACGCGCCACCAGGCACUAUCUUGGCCCCAGGGAGGAACACUGUGGGACCUCUGGAUCAGGAGCAAUGCCCUCCUCCUCCUCGGCAGCAUGGUGGGACAUUUGGCAAAGGACAUCUCCCCUCAAUCUUGGAGGAACUGCUGAGACCAGCGAGAGGGCACCACUGUCCCACCCUGGCCCAGAGAUGAAGCCCUCUGGGAUCUGUGGAUCAUGUGCAAUUCCCACCUUGACAGAUCAGUGUGAAAUGUGGCAAAGAAAAACUUCCCACCAUCAUGGAGGACUUCCUGAGACCUGUGAGAACGCACCAUUGUCCCACCAUCACUGAAAUCACUGAGACAUUGGGCUUAGAUGUGUAAUGAAGAGUGAAGGUGAAGGAGCUGAGAAGCUGGACAGAGUGGGCAGGGCCAUGAUGCCGCUGCACAGAAGGCCACAGAGAGCAAGAACAGAUCUGCCUGUCAGAUGGACUCAGGCCAAGGUGCAAAGGAAGCAUUGGCUCUUGGAAAAUUCAGACUGUAAAUGUCCACGGCCCUCUGCAAACAAUGGCAUCACUCAGCCCUGGAAAAUGGAGAGGAGGCAAUGGCCAUGUCCAGCCCUGGUGGAGGUGGAGUGGAGGCUUCUACCAAGUGCCUUGCAGGUCAGCUGCAACAGUGAAAUGUGCAAAGCAAGGCUUCCUUGCUUCUAAUAGCUUCCAUCUCCCUGCUCACAGACCAGAAGAGACGGCAGCGUGGCUCAGAUGCUGUGGUCUCGGGUGCUCCUCCAUGUAGGUCUGGGAUCUCCUCUCCUGUUCUGAUCUUCCAAGGUUUCCACAGCAAUGUGUGCCAUUUUGUAACACAAUAAAGAAAGAAUUUAA